UACGUAGGGUGCGAGCGUUGUCCGGAAUUAUUGGGCGUAAAGGGCUCGUAGGCGGUUUGUCGCGUCGGGAGUGAAAACAUCCAGCUUAACUGGGUGCUUGCUUUCGAUACGGGCAGACUUGAGGUAUGCAGGGGAGAAUGGAAUUCCUGGUGUAGCGGUGAAAUGCGCAGAUAUCAGGAGGAACACCGAUAGCGAAGGCAGCUCGCUGGGACGGUACUGACGCUGAGGUGCGAAAGCGUGGGGAGCGAACAGG
rnacentral:rRNA from 1 species